GAUGAAGAACGUAGCGAAAUGCGAUAAGUAAUGUGAAUUGCAGAAUUCAGUGAAUCAUCGAAUCUUUGAACGCACAUUGCGCCCAUUAGUAAUCUAGUGGGCAUGCCUGUUCGAGCGUCAUUAAUUCCACUUAAGCCCUGCUUAGUGUUGGGAAUCUACUCUAGUGGUGCUACCCUGGAGCUACCCCUGAAAGGGGGCUGGCCCGGUAGCUACCCUGUAGUUCCUCAAAGAUAGUGCGCGGAGUUGCGUGGUCCUCUGAGCUUAGUAACUAUACACCUAGCUUUUGAGUGUCCCGCGGCGCCUGCCGUUUAAACCCCAUCUUUUAAUGGUUGACCUCGGAUCAGGUAGGAAUACCCGCUGAACUUAAGCAUAUCAAUAAGCGGAGGA
rnacentral:misc_RNA from 1 species